rnacentral:rRNA from 1 species
CCUACGGGUGGCAGCAGUGGGGAAUAUUGGGCAAUGGGCGCAAGCCUGACCCAGCAAUGCCGCGUGAAGGAAGAAGGCCCUCGGGUUGUAAACUUCUUUUAUCAGGGACGAAGGAUGUGACGGUACCUGAUGAAUAAGCUCAGGGUAACUACGUGCCAGCAGCCGCGGUAAUACGUAGGGCGCAAGCGUUAUCCGGAUUUACUGGGUGUAAAGGGCGCGUAGGCGGAGUGGCAAGUCAGAUGUGAAAUCCAGGGGCUCAACCCCUGAACUGCGUUUGAAACUGUCGUUCUUGAGUACAGGAGAGGUUGGCGGAAUUCCUAGUGGAGCGGUGAAAUGCGUAGAGAUUAGGAGGAACACCAGUGGCGAAGGCGGUCAACUGGACAGCAACUGACGCUGAGGCGCGAAAGCGUGGGGAGCAAACAGGAGUAGAUACCCUUGUAGUC